UGUAAAACAAUUGAGAUUCAUUUAUUUAUUGCCUAUUUAUUAUUUUUUAUCCAGUGUCCCGGGGGCACCGGUUAGCAACACCAUAUUAUAAUUCAUUGAUGUACUUAACAGGCAUUUAAUUAUCUAUUUAUUUUUUGGAAGGAGUUUUAAGUUAAAGAAACUAAUGGGUAAAAAAAAAACCUUAUUUAAUAUAAGUAAAUAGAAAGGUUGUUUUGCAUAUUAUAAAUUGAUCAAACAAUUUUCUAGUCAUUUGACAUAUGCUAAAGAGGAAAAAAUAUGGCUGAAUUUAUCAAAUUUGUUAGUGUUAUCAUUAUCUCAAUUUCCCUAUGUUUUGUCAUAGUCAAUGGUGGAUUUGAACGUUGCUGCACCUAUAAUAGUGAGUGUGGGCCUUACUGUUCUGAUCCAAUAUAUGGGAUGUGCUGGGUCAAUAAUGUAGAUGCGUAUUCAUAAGUUUUUGAGGGAAGUUAAGAGCUAACUUGGAUGUGAUAGCUUUUCUUGGCGAUUACUAUGGGAUGGGAUAGGGUUUUUACCCACCAAAAUUUGUUUAUGAAAAAUAUUUUUAUUUUAUACAUAUAUAUUUCCGUGGUA